rnacentral:rRNA from 1 species
GAUGAACGCUAGCGGCAGGCCUAAUACAUGCAAGUCGAGGGGCAGCGGAUCUGCUUCGGUAGAUGCCGGCGACCGGCGAACGGGUGCGUAACGCGUAUACAACCUGCCUUUUACAGAAGAAUAGCCCAUGGAAACGUGGAUUAAUGCUUCAUGGCCCUGUAAAGCUGCAUAGUUUAACAGGUAAAGGCUUCGGCCGGUAAAAGAUGGGUAUGCGUGACAUUAGCUGGAUGGUGAGGUAACGGCUCACCAUGGCAACGAUGUCUAGGGGUUCUGAGAGGAUGAUCCCCCACACUGGCACUGAGAUACGGGCCAGACUCCUACGGGAGGCAGCAGUAGGGAAUAUUGGUCAAUGGACGCAAGUCUGAACCAGCCAUGCCGCGUGCAGGAAGAAGGCUUUCUGAGUCGUAAACUGCUUUUAUACGGGAAGAAAAGUCCUUUGCGAAGGGUUCUGACGGUACCGUAAGAAUAAGCACCGGCUAACUCCG